AUUUAUAUAGUUUAUAUAAUAGAAAAACAUAAUAUUUUCAAUAUUAAAAAAGUAUAAGAUUUACUUAUAAAUA
rnacentral:tRNA from 1 species